UCCUCCACUUUGUCCGUGUGACAGUUUGCUUUGUGUGUGAACUCAACGAGUAAACAAUCUGAAUGUACAUGUUUAUUCUGUCAACACAUACGGACCAAAAACAACAAAGCCUUCAUUUAAGAACAUCAGGACAGCCGUGCUGCAGUCAGAGUGGGAAACUGUGCCGUCCCACAGGAGCCACGGUCGGAGGAACCUGGGAGUGUUCCUAGUUUGAGGACUAAGACAAGUGAGAAGGAGGAACCAGCCUGAAGCUAAACGAGUGAACAGCUGUUUGCAGAUCAACACUUUCCUGAGGCUGAUAGAAACUUUCAGACAACUGGCAGCAUCUCCGACUGUGAAACAACAAACGAUAAAGAUCAAGUGGGAUGCAGUGUCAAAGCCAGGCGUAACGCUUCUACAGGCAGAAGGAAAGCCGGCCGAGAUGCUCGCAAAUACGCGCGGUCACCGGACUUCUGCUAAUGGUGACAGCGAAGCAGAGCAAGAACAGAAGGACGACGGAGCGGAGCCCUGCUGCAGAGGUUCCUCCGGUCUCAUUAUCCUCUCAAGUCUGGACAGGAAGCACAAAAGUCCCGCCCGGGCCUUCGUGGACCUGAGAUCUCUGCCGCCACAGGACAGAGGCUGAGAUCAUCGUCAUUAACCAACCGGAGCAGACUGAGGAGACUCUCCCUCCACAGGGAAAUGCACACUUACAGUUUUAAUCUCUUACAUGGAACGAGCAUGUUUCCCUGAAACAAUCAGAUGUGCCCCGCACGCCAAGAAACAAUCUACUUCAAACGAAUUUUGUUUUACACCAGACGACGUCUUCGAUUUACAGGCCAGAUUCCCCUCAGUCCUCCAGCAAGCUGUGCAGGAAUCUGUCCACUUAAAAAAAACACGCUGCAUUAUUAAUGACCACUUAGUCUGAUUGGCUGGAAGUCUGGACGCGGGUUAACCUCAUGGAAGAAAACCCAAUAAUAAGAAAAAGUAACGAUGAGGAAUUAUUAUUGGAUCCUUUUUUGAAAGGAUUUUCAAAAGCUGAAUUCGUUUCUGCAAAAGGUGCCACACAACUCCCUUCAUAACGACUCUGCAGGGUCUUUGUGUGUGACUGGCUAAUGUUAGCCGUCUGGCUCAGCUCGCUUUCACUAAUUCAAGUCACAGGAGCAGGUCGUCUCCUCUUGUUCCAAAUUGCACCAACUGCACAAGCACAUUUCUGGAGUCAUUUGACAAUAAUAUGACCUGCUGUCACAGCUGUGCUACAAUUUUUUGGAAUGAAAUUCUAUUAUUUUAUUAGUAUUUAUCAGCCAAAUCGGCAUUAAUUUGCAGGUGUUUCACAUCUAGCUAAUAAGAUAACUUUCUGGCCCAAAUGCAGUCAGUGGUCCAAAGAACCAACCUCUGGGCGACUGAAAGGCUAAGCAGAGUCCUGAGAUCCACAGAUUGAGUCAUGCAUGCUCCAUCAAAAGUGUGAGUGAAAAGAGUAAGAUGCUGCUCGUCUCCCUGCAAAUAACAUUUUACCCCCCAACAAAAGCAAACCACAUGUAAAUGUCACUUCUUUGCAGCUAUGUAAACAAUGAUGAGUAACACAGCUUGUGCUUGGCUGCAAUGCAAACUCAAACUACACAAGUUGCAUACAGCAUAACGUAUAGCAGGGUGCAGUCAAGCUUCUGAGUAUGCAUCAUCUGACAUUCUGUUAUGCAACAGUUUCUUUUACAGUAAAGGGACUUAACGUCACUCUGAUCCAAACUACAAUUCCAGUUUUUUAAAAAAAGA